AGGAUGAACGCUGGCGGCGUGCUUAAGACAUGCAAGUCGAACGCAGAGCUGAUAGCAAUAUUGGCUCUGAGUGGCGAAUGGGUGCGUAACACGUAGGUGACCUGCCCUGAAGUGGGGAAUAACAGUCCGAAAGGACUGCUAAUACCGCAUACGGUUCAAGGCGUUAGAGAACUUGAACCAAAGCUCGUAAGGGCGCUUCAGGGAGGGGCCUGCGGCCCAUCAGUUAGUUGGUAGGGUAACGGCCUACCAAGACGACGACGGGUAGGGGACCUGAGAGGGUGCCCCCACACGUGGCACUGACACACGGGCCAGACUCCUACGGGAGGCAGCAGUCGGGAAUAUUGCCCAAUCGGAACGAAAGUCUGAGGCAGCAACGCCGCGUAGCGCGAUGAAGGCCUUGGGUCGUAAAGCGCUUUCGGAGAGUGAGGAAGACAGUACUCCGGAAUAAGGACGCUAA
rnacentral:rRNA from 1 species